rnacentral:tRNA from 1 species
AUAGGUAUAGCUCAGUGACAGAAUACAUGCUUAGCAUGCAUGAACUCCUGGGUUCAAUUCCCAGUACUUCCA